rnacentral:rRNA from 1 species
GUGCCAGCCGCCGCGGUAAUACGUAGGUGGCAAGCGUUAUCCGGAAUUAUUGGGCGUAAAGCGCGCGUAGGCGGUUUCUUAAGUCUGAUGUGAAAGCCCACGGCUCAACCGUGGAGGGUCAUUGGAAACUGGGAAACUUGAGUGCAGAAGAGGAAAGUGGAAUUCCAUGUGUAGCGGUGAAAUGCGCAGAGAUAUGGAGGAACACCAGUGGCGAAGGCGACUUUCUGGUCUGUAACUGACGCUGAUGUGCGAAAGCGUGGGGAUCAAACAGGAUUAGAUA